rnacentral:rRNA from 1 species
AUGCCUCCAAGAAAUGACAAGGACGGUGGUGAAGACAUCACCGUCGACCUCUAUCCAUUCAUUCGCGAGUACAAGGGCGGCCGUGUCGAGCGCUUUCUGCGCAGCCCAUUCGUGGCAGCGACGGAGGACCCGGCAGCCAACCGUGGAGUGGCGACGAGGGAUGUCAUCAUCGACAACUGCACCGGCGUGUCAGCACGCCUCUUUCUGCCUUCCGAUGCUGCAGCCGCCGGCGAGAGGCUUCCGGUCAUCAUGUACGUGCACGGUGGAUCGUUCUGCACCGAGAGCGCAUUUGGCCGCACAUACAAUAACUAUAUCAGGUCCCUCGCCGCACGGACUGGGGCUCUCGUCGUGUCUGUGGAGUACCGUCUUGCACCGGAGCAUCCUGUGCCUGCGGCCUACGACGAUGCAUGGGCCGCGCUCCAGUGGGUGGCGUCCCUCUCAGACCCCUGGCUGUCUAGCUAUGCCGACCCGGAGCGCACCUUCCUAGCGGGCGACAGCGCCGGCGGCAACAUCGUCUACAACACGGCGGUGCGUGCGGCUGGCCGCGGUACAAACAUCGUCGACAUCGAGGGGCUUGUCAUCGUUCACCCCUACUUCUGGGGGGUGGACCGGCUGUCCAGCUCCGAGACCGUCUGGGACGGCGUCGCCAUGUUUACGCCAGACUUUGUGGACAGGCUCUGGCCGUACGUCACGGCUGGCCAGCUUGAGAACGACGAUCCAUGGAUAAACCCUCUGGACGGGGACAUUGCCUCGCUGAUGUGCCGGCGUGUGCUGGUCGCCGUCGCUGAGAAGGAUAGCUUGUCUGGCCGUGGGCGCCGGUUGGCGGCUUCCAUGCGCAACCUCAUGUGGGCCGACGAUCAACACGCGGUGACAUUGGUGGAGUCAGAGGCCGAAGACCAUGGCUUCCACCUCUACAACCCCAUGCGUGCGACUAGUAAGACACUCAUGGAGAGUAUCAUACAGUUCAUAAACCAG